rnacentral:lncRNA from 1 species
UUACACUGACACUCUUCCAUCCCCACUCCUCGGAGCUCUGCCAGCAAGCAGCACUUGGAGCAUCAAAUUGUAAAGUUCCAGCAUCCCAGGGCAUCUAAAGUGUCAUUUCCUCUCUGGAAAGAAAGGAAGCAGAAAACAUGCUAGGCUUCAGCUGAGGCCCCACUUUCUGCCUGACUAAGAAGAUGACCAAGUGAUGACUGCCUUCUCUGACCUCUUGGCUCUAUCAGCACUGUAGUACCAGCAUUUCUCAGACGCCGUUUCCUGUUGGUGUGAAUUACUCUCUGACAAGAUUGUAAACCCCAGGGCAGGGUUGGGGGAAAAUAAUUUCGGACAAUUCUUUUGUAUUUUGGAUCCUUAAAGUGAAUAGUUUGCUCACUUAAAUGCAGUAUCGCGUCUUGAUUGUUC